AUGGCUGCGCUUUGUCCCGGACAAGAUGAAUGCUCAAUUGCCAUCUACCUCACUGGUUUUCAACAAGCGGUACGUAAUUUGUUCCAACUGCAUCAAAUACUUCUUCACUCAUUUAUAUGCUUUCUGAGUUUCAUGUAUAAUUAUUGCGUUCCUUGUUACUUGUUAGUAUUGCAUUUCGAUUAAUUAAUUGUGUUGUGUCCUAUUUUAAGAUACUUAAUUAAUAUUUAAGUAUUUGAAAUUAAAUUCUCACAGCUAGAUUUUUUUUUUAAUUUUAAAAAGUACGUCAAAGUUUGUUAAAUUAAUACUCUCAUAGCUAGAUUAGAUAAAUGGCCAUGAUCCCAUGAAUCGGUGAUGUUUGUUUUUGUUUUAAGAAUAAUGCUAGCAACACACUCUUUAACAAACACACUCUAACACACUCUCUUUUAUUGAUUGAAGCACUCCUCUUAUAAAAAAAUAAAUUCAUAUUUCGGUCGCAAGGUAAGAAUUGUUUCCACCCGUGUCUUUAAUACGAGUCUUCAUAAAAGAGAGUUUAUUAACUACUCACAAUUAUUUUAUUGAAAAAAAAAAUCACCAUAUAAUCUUAUCCUCAAUUAUAUCAUUGCAUUGCAUAUAUAUUAAAACAAGAGGAGUGCUAGCAACACACUCUUUAACAAACACACUCUAUUCUAUUGGUUAAAAUUUAUAUGGGUCCCAUAAAAAUUAUAUGGGUCCACAUUUUUUUAUGGGACCCAUGUGAAUUUCAACCAAUAAAAGAGAGUGUGUUAGAGUGUGUUUGUUAAAGAGUGUGUUGCUAGCAUUAUUCUUUUUUAUAAUAAAAUAAUUGUGUAUAAAUAAAAAUUAUGAUAUAUAUUGUUGAAUUAGAUAUCAAAUUUUCAUUUUUCUUGAUCGUAAUAAACUUAAGAUAUACUCCAUUCGAACCCACUUGAGUUGGUCUGGUGGUAUUGGUCUGGUGGUAUUUUUCUUAAGGUCUCAGGUUCGAUUCUCUCUAGUGCCAAUUUGGGUGAGUUAAUUUAGCUUUUUCAAAAAAGAUACUCUCCAUUCGUACCAUAAUAUAAAUUGUUUUAACCAUAUUACACAAAUUAAAAAAUGUUAUUAAUGUUAUACGUAAAAGAUAAAUUAUAAGUUAGUUCAUAAAAUUGUCCUUCAUUAAUAAAACUUGUAUUCUAACCAUUAUACAACUUGAAAAAAAUAAAAAUUUAUCGUCACAAAAUCAAACAUAAACUAUGUUCAUAGUGAAUGGACAAAAUAUUCUUCCUCCAGAAAAUUUUGUUUUCCACAAAUAUUGAGACAAAAGUUUUGAUAAGAAAAAAAAAAGACAAAAGAGUACAACAAAGAAACUUCCUUAGGAGUUAGGAAUAUUUUGGGAGAAGAAUUUAAAUUUUAAUGGUUAUUGGGCUGAUUAUUGGAUCAAGCUGGAGGUAGUUUCCAACUUAUAUUUUAUUGGGCCCACUGGAAAUAUCAAAAAUAAAACAAAAGAAAAAUUAUACUCCACAUACACCCACACCUAUUCCACUACCCCCACAGUAAAAAGAAAGAAAGGAAUAAUGAUUCUAUUUUACACUUUUAGAUUUUAACUAAUUUAUUUUUACAAUUUUAUUGAAUUCUAAAAUAAAUUAAGUUGUUAUAAAUAAUUUUAUUUUUUUUUGGGAAAACUCAAAUUUUGAAUUUUCCAGAAAAUUAAAUUGUCUAGAAUGUGACAUUUUCUAGUUUUUAAUACUUAAAUUAAAUUUUCCGAAAUUCUGGAUAACUCAAAAUUCAAAACCUUUUUUCUCAAAAUUAUGGUAAAUUUAAUAUUUUUGGAACAUAUUUUGUUGGGAAUAUUUAAAUUCUAGCUUGUUUGAAGAGAGAAAUUUUCCAAUACUUAUUAUGAAAAAUGAAAAAUAAUUGUUGCUUAUAUAUAAGACUGAAGAGAGUAUACGCAAUACUUUAUUUCCUCGUGUUCACGCGGAUGAAUAAGUAUGUGACUUGUGCAGAUGAUAGGAUUGGGAACGCUUGUGACGAUGCCCCUUUUGGGUAGUCUCUCCGAUAAGUAUGGGAGGAAAGCUAUUCUCACACUUCCUAUGACCCUCAUGAUUAUUCCCUUGGGUAAUUUUUCAUUCACUUUCUUCCACUUGUUUAAUUAAAUGUGGCUUCUUUUUUUUAUUAAAAAAAAUAAUAAAAUUACAGUGAGACGAUCGUACCCUAGUCCAAGUCUAUCUUUUUACUAUUAGAUCAAACUUAAUAGUUGAUACGACUUAUUUUAUCAAAUGUGCAACACAAAUUAUAAUGACCUUAAAUUAAUAAUCACUAUCAAAUUAUAUGAUUAUGCAUUGGUGGUGAUGGUUUCACAGGGAUAUUAGCUUACAGUAGGACAAAAACAUUCUUCUAUGUAUAUUACGUGUUUAGGAUCAUCAUUUUCAUGAUCUGUGAUGGAUGCAUUCCUUGCCUCGCUCUAGCUUACGUUGUAAGUCUUACAGACAUUUUGUAUCCAAAUUCAAAAUUUACAAUAUAUGUACCUGCUAAUUAAAUCUAAAAAACCAAUUAACUUAGUCUUAUUUUCUUUAAUUAUGAUAUUAUGAUAUAUAAUACAGGCAGAUAAUGUUCCAGAAAGUGGGAGAAGCACUGCUUUUGGAAUUCUUUCAGGGAUUGGAUCCUCUGCUUUUGUUUGUGGUACACUAGCAGCUCGUUUUCUAUCUACUGCUCAAACUUUUCAGGUGUUUAUUUCUUCGAUUCAAGAUAAUUAAUUACCAAUGAAUGGAGAAUAAUUUAUGACUUAUCAAUUGUAUUUUCUCUUUUAAUAAUAAGGUUUCCACUUUUGCUGCGGUGCUCGGAGCAGUUUACAUGCAAAUUUUCCUUCGAGAUUCGGUCAUGGAUCAAAACAACGUCCUUUGUACCCCGAUCAUUUCACAGGGAAAGCCAAUAAUUUCUUGUAAAUCGAAAUCUAACAUGCCGUUGUUGAAAGCAUUGCGAUCUUUGCAGGAUCUAACAUCUUUCCUCAAUAGUAGGUAUGUGAAUAUUUGAUUUUUUGUAGAAAAUUAAAUACAUCUUUAUGAAUGAGUAUUUUAGUUUUGUGUAUGUAAUAAUUAAUAGUUAUACAUGGAUUAUCCAAUUUGCAGCAAGAUUAUCACUCAAGCAGCAAUUGUUGCAUUCUUCAGUAACCUUGCAGAUGUUGGUUUUCAUGGUUCAAUGAUGGUAUUUUCCAAUUUUCUCCCUUAUUAUACAUAUAAUCUUUAAUGUUUUGUAUAAUGUUCAAGUUUUGAUAUUUGUUUUACAUGAAUUAGAACUAGUAAUUUAAAUUUAAUUAACACUUUAUUCUUCUUGUGCAGUAUUACUUAAAGGCUCAGUUUCAUUUUGAUAAGAAUCAUUUUGCUGAUUUAAUGAUCAUUUCUGGUAUUGCGGGGACUGUAUCACAGGUAAUUUUUGCAAUGCCUUAUCUUAGUUUUCCUUUUGUCUCGUCGAAUCUUUAGUUUCUCUGAGUUUAUUGUAAAUAUUAAUAUUGAACAUCGAUUAUCACAGCUUUUUCUUAUGCCGAUUUUUGCUCCUACUUUGGGUGAGGCAAGACUUCUUUCGAUCGGACUAUUUUUUCACUUUUUACAUGUAAGCAUUUUUUUCUUCUUGUGAAGUUAUAUAAAAAGAUACAAUUUUAUAAAAUUCUAAAUUGGUGAUAUUGAAUGGAAUGCAGAUGUUCAUUUACAGCAUAGCAUGGUCCUCCUGGGUAUGUCUUUUGCUACUCUAUUGUUAAUUAGUUAUAAUUAGUCGAACUUGCGCAGUUUAUUUGAUUACUUUUUUAUGUAUGCUUCUAGUGUCCCUUCGGGGACAUCCGAUAAAAUUGAAACGACACAGAGAAUAUUAGCAUGACCCCUGCGCAAGGAUGACACGCACAAAUUGAGCCUCUAGUGUCCCUUUUCACUUCCGCCUUCUGUUUUUAUGUUUUAUUAACUGCUAAUGUGUACAUGUUGAUAGGUUCCUUAUGCUGCUGCAAUGUUCUCAAUUUUGUUUGUUUUUUCACAACCAUGUGUGAGUUUCUUUCCUCAUUUUAUAUAUUUUUCAUUUAAAUAUGGAUUUUCCCCUUUGAUUGUCAAUGAGUUGUUUCUUGAAAACAUAAUUUUGAUUAAUUUACUCUUUCAAUUUUUGUAGAUACGAAGUAUUGUGUCUAAACAAGUUGAUCCACACGAGCAGGUAUCAUUUUAAUUGAACACUUGUAAUAUUUUUGUUACAUUAUUAGAAUUAUGUCAUCAUUUUUUUAUUAAAUCAUAAAAAUAGGAAAAAGUUAUGCAUAAAAUAUAGUGAAUUUUUGUUAAAAGAAAAAAUGCAUGUAAAAUUUUGAUGAUUAUGCUCUUUACUAAUUACAAACCAAAUUUUAAUGAAUGAUCUUUAUUUUUUCCUCCUCGAUUAUCUUCUCGUAGGGAAGAGCUCAAGGUUGCAUCUCAGGCAUAUGUUCAAUUGCUCAUAUUGUAUCUCCCUUGGUUUUCUCUCCAUUAACGGGUGAGUGAAUGUGAAGGUCAUUUUUUUCUCAUUAGGUUUAUAUCACCAUUACCAUAGAAAAUUAUUAACAAGAAGUUAUUUCAAUUUUCAGCUCUAUUUUUAUCUGAAAAGGCGCCUUUUAGUUUUCCUGGCUUCAGUAUAUUGUGUAUUGGAAUUGCUUCGGUAAGAACUUCUAGUUUUAUUUAUAAUAUUGUUGAAUUUGUUGUGAAUAUUUUUACAGUUCUUUGUAGUCAAAAUGAAUGUCCACAUAAAGUACAUGAACAUAAUAUUGUUUUGCUUAGCAUAGUUUUUAUUAACUUUCUCUAAUUUCUUGGUAAUUGUAGAACUCUUCUAUCAAUUUUCCUGUGGCAAUUUAUAUGAUCAAAUUUUGUUUGCAGAUGAUAUCUUUUUUUCAGAGCAUGAUGCUCAGAGUGGUUCCUCCCAUUUUGAGUUAGAUGGACAUAGUUGACUUCAACCCUAAUUAUUUAAAAAGAUGGUGAAUACUCGCAUAAAGUGGAAUUCUUCUUUAUUUGUAGGAGUUUUGUGUCUUCAAUUGUAUUUAGAUGAUGAAGCAAUGUGUUGAAUUGAAUAAGCAUAUUCGUAUACGGAAAUGUUUCAUGAACACAUAUUUAAAACACAUACCCAACAAAUACAUGGUUGGUAUACCAUUUUCAUCUUUGAAAUAAUACAGUAAUAUAUUUUCUUUCUCGGUUUGCAUACACACUCUUUUUCUCUCUUAUAUUUGAUAUUGUCAAAUACUUGUCGAUCAGAAUUGUGUUCAAAUAGCAUGCCUCGUUUGCGGUAUAACUAUAAGUAUAUACUUGUUAAGCUUUUCUAUGUCCUUACUAGUAAACAUCUUGUGGCACCAAAGAAAGACACAAAUAAAUUUUGAAUUAGUAAAUAAAAAUAAUAAACAUGUAUUGGUAUAUAUUAAGCAUCUAUUGCAUAUUUCAUUUUUGGGUUAGAAUCUCUCCAUUUUCCAUUAUUUUCAUUUUUUUAUUAUUAUAUAAUUUUGGAAAUAUUAGCUCAAAUCACUUUUAUACACCUCCAAAAUAUUUAAAAAUUUUAGUAAUGAAAAAAAUGAAAAUAAUUUAAAAUUUAGAGGAUCUCAACUCUUUAUUUUUAGUAAGAAAAUUUUGUAGCAUAAUUAUAUACAGUGGCGGAGCCUGGGCAAAAUUGAGAGCUUGAAAGAAGAGAGACAGAACAUACCAAAUAAUGGACAUUAAGCUGGAAUUGUUAGCCUUUUAGGGUUUCAAUUUCAAAGAAUUUUCGAUCAAAAAUAAGAAAAAAAGCUAUAGACAAAUUACCAAAGUUUUUGAUCUUAUAAACAUAAUUUUAAUAAAAAAACAACACAUUUGGUUACUGAAAAACUACAUUUUCACAUUGUUUUAAGAAAUAUUUUUUAUCUUUAUUUUACAUCCGGUCCAAAUAUAUAAAUAAAAGGUAGCUUCUUUUACUUUAGGUUGAAGAAUUUGAUAUCAAUUUUACACUAAAAUAACAGUAAAUUUUAUACCAAAUUACACUAAACUUAUAUCAACUUUGGUUUCAAUGGAAAAAUGUUUCAAACAUGAAUGAAUUCGCAAUAAAAUCCAUUUUAAUCAAAUCAAUUUCAUAAUACUUCAUUAAAAAUCACACAUUAAUCAAAGGUUAACCAAAAUGUACUUGUUUCCCAGUGAUCUCCUUUUGUUUGUACUUGUUUCACCCUCAAUUUUGCAGUUCAAAAAAAAAAAGGUUAACCAAAACUCAGUGCAACAUUUCAAAAUGUAGAUCAAGUAAGGGGCAAAAACACAAAUUGAAUAAAUUACCAAUCAAAAAGAAAAAAUUGUAGAAAUAAAUACCUUGUUAACAUUGAGAUUUUGAGGCCCAAAAAUCGAAGAAAUUUGUGGAAAUGAUAAAACAUUUCCAAUGAAGAAUCAAAACUUUUUGGUCCCAAAUUCACAACACCAGAGUCUCAUCAAUUUAUAUCAAAAUUUCAUCACCUAAAAAUUGAAAACAAGGGGUCAAACAGAGUUUCAUCAAAUUGAACACAAGUGCCUGAAAUUGAAAACAAGGGGAACAAACAAACAAACAACCCUUUAAUUUCAAGUCUCAACCAACACAAUCAAUUGCUACAAAACCCCCUUCAUAAGAAUUCUAUUUUGAUCUAUAUGCCACAUAAAAGCAAUUUAAUCAAAGGCAUCCAAAAGCAAUUACCUCCUUUGAAGCCUACGGCGACGACAGUGUGGCGGAUGAGAAGGAGAUUCUCGAUCUAUGGCGUCAAAGACGAAGCAAGGCAACGGGAUGAGAGAUUAAGAGGACAGUGAUGACGAGGAGAGGACGCACGCGGGAAGAGAAAGUGAAAACCGUCG
rnacentral:lncRNA from 1 species